UACGUAGGGUGCGAGCGUUGUCCGGAUUUAUUGGGCGUAAAGAGCUCGUAGGCGGUUUGUCGCGUCGUCCGUGAAAACUUGGGGCUCAACCCCAAGCUUGCGGGCGAUACGGGCAGACUUGAGUACUGCAGGGGAGACUGGAAUUCCUGGUGUAGCGGUGAAAUGCGCAGAUAUCAGGAGGAACACCGGUGGCGAAGGCGGGUCUCUGGGCAGUAACUGACGCUGAGGAGCGAAAGCGUGGGUAGCGAACAGG
rnacentral:rRNA from 1 species